UACGAAGGGGGCUAGCGUUGCUCGGAAUCACUGGGCGUAAAGCGCACGUAGGCGGCUUCUUAAGUCAGGGGUGAAAUCCUGGAGCUCAACUCCAGAACUGCCUUUGAUACUGGGAGGCUCGAGUCCGGGAGAGGUGAGUGGAACUGCGAGUGUAGAGGUGAAAUUCGUAGAUAUUCGCAAGAACACCAGUGGCGAAGGCGGCUCACUGGCCCGGUACGUGACGCUGAGGUGCGAAAGCGUGGGGAGCAACAGG
rnacentral:rRNA from 1 species